AGAGCGAACGCUGGCGGCAGGCCUAACACAUGCAAGUCGAGCGCCCGUAGCAAUACGGGAGCGGCAGACGGGAGAGUAACACGUGGGAACGCGCCCUUCGGUUCGGAAUAACUCAGGGAAACUUGAGCUAAUACCGGAUACGCCCUUACGGGGAAAGAUUUAUUGCCGAAGGAACGGCCCGCGUCCGAUUAGCUUGUUGGUGAGGUAAUGGCUCACCAAGGCGACGAUCGGUAGCUGGUCUGAGAGGAUGACCAGCCUCACUGGGACUGAGACACGGCCCAGACUCCUACGGGAGGCAGCAGUGGGGAAUAUUGGACAAUGGGCGCAAGCCUGAUCCAGCCAUGCCGCGUGGAUGAUGAAGGCCCUAGGGUUGUAAAGUCCUUUAACGGGGAAGAUAAUGACGGUACCGUAGAAUAAGCCCGGCUAACGUUCGUGCCAGCAGCCGC
rnacentral:rRNA from 1 species